GAUGAACGCUAGCGGCAGGCCUAAUACAUGCAAGUCGGACGGGAUUGAGGAGCUUGCAUCUCAUGAGAGUGGCGCACGGGUGCGUAACACGUAUGUAACCUACCUUAGUCAGGGGGAUAGCCUCUCGAAAGAGAGAUUAACACCGCAUAACAUUAUGAUAUGGCAUCAUAUAAUAAUCAAAUAUUUAUAGGACUAAGAUGGGCAUGGGGAACAUUAGCUAGUUGGUAAAGUAACGGCUUACCAAGGCUACGAUGUUUAGGGGAUCUGAGAGGAUGACCCCCCACACUGGUACUGAGACACGGACCAGACUCCUACGGGAGGCAGCAGUAAGGAAUAUUGGGCAAUGGACGCAAGUCUGAACCAGCCAUGACGCGUGCAGGAAGACGGCCCUACGGGUUGUAAACUGCUUUUGUACCGGAAUAAACCUUUGUGUGUAUACGAAGCUGAAUGUACGGUAAGAAUAAGGAUCGGCUAACUCCGUGCCAGCCGCCGCAGUAA
rnacentral:rRNA from 1 species